GAUGAACGCUGGCGGCGUGCCUAAUACAUGCAAGUCGAGCGAACGGACGAGAAGCUUGCUUCUCUGAUGUUAGCGGCGGACGGGUGAGUAACACGUGGAUAACCUACCUAUAAGACUGGGAUAACUUCGGGAAACCGGAGCUAAUACCGGAUAAUAUUUUGAACCGCAUGGUUCAAAAGUAAAAGACGGUCUUGCUGUCACUUAUAGAUGGAUCCGCGCUGCAUUAGCUAGUUGGUAAGGUAACGGCUUACCAAGGCAACGAUGCAUAGCCGACCUGAGAGGGUGAUCGGCCACACUGGAACUGAGACACGGUCCAGACUCCUACGGGAGGCAGCAGUAGGGAAUCUUCCGCAAUGGGCGAAAGCCUGACGGAGCAACGCCGCGUGAGUGAUGAAGGUCUUCGGAUCGUAAAACUCUGUUAUUAGGGAAGAAUAUAUGUGUAAGUAACUGUGCACAUCUUGACGGUACCUAAUCAGAAAGCCACGGCUAACUACGUGCCAGCAGCCGCGGUAAUACGUAGGUGGCAAGCGUUAUCCGGAAUUAUUGGGCGUAAAGCGCGCGUAGGCGGUUUUUUAAGUCUGAUGUGAAAGCCCACGGCUCAACCGUGGAGGGUCAUUGGAAACUGGAAAACUUGAGUGCAGAAGAGGAAAGUGGAAUUCCAUGUGUAGCGGUGAAAUGCGCAGAGAUAUGGAGGAACACCAGUGGCGAAGGCGACUUUCUGGUCUGUAACUGACGCUGAUGUGCGAAAGCGUGGGGAUCAAACAGGAUUAGAUACCCUGGUAGUCCACGCCGUAAACGAUGAGUGCUAAGUGUUAGGGGGUUUCCGCCCCUUAGUGCUGCAGCUAACGCAUUAAGCACUCCGCCUGGGGAGUACGACCGCAAGGUUGAAACUCAAAGGAAUUGACGGGGACCCGCACAAGCGGUGGAGCAUGUGGUUUAAUUCGAAGCAACGCGAAGAACCUUACCAAAUCUUGACAUCCUUUGACAACUCUAGAGAUAGAGCCUUCCCCUUCGGGGGACAAAGUGACAGGUGGUGCAUGGUUGUCGUCAGCUCGUGUCGUGAGAUGUUGGGUUAAGUCCCGCAACGAGCGCAACCCUUAAGCUUAGUUGUCAUCAUUAAGUUGGGCACUCUAAGUUGACUGCCGGUGACAAACCGGAGGAAGGUGGGGAUGACGUCAAAUCAUCAUGCCCCUUAUGAUUUGGGCUACACACGUGCUACAAUGGACAAUACAAAGGGCAGCGAAACCGCGAGGUCAAGCAAAUCCCAUAAAGUUGUUCUCAGUUCGGAUUGUAGUCUGCAACUCGACUACAUGAAGCUGGAAUCGCUAGUAAUCGUAGAUCAGCAUGCUACGGUGAAUACGUUCCCGGGUCU
rnacentral:rRNA from 1 species